rnacentral:rRNA from 1 species
GACGAACCGUGCGAACGUUGUUCGGAAUCACUGGGCUUAAAGGGCGCGUAGGCGGCUUCGCAAGUCCGGGGUGAAAGCCCCCAGCCCAACUGGGGAAGUGCCUUGGAUACUGCGGGGCUCGAGCGAGGCAGGGGUCGUGGGAACUUCCGGUGGAGCGGUGAAAUGCGUUGAUAUCGGAAGGAACGCCGGUGGCGAAAGCGCACGACUGGUCCUCUUCUGACGCUGAGGCGCGAAAGCCAGGGGAGCAAACGGG